GAAAGGCGCUUUUGCGUCACUGAUGGAUGGACCCGCGGUGCAUUAGCUAGUUGGUGAGGUAACGGCUCACCAAGGCCACGAUGCAUAGCCGACCUGAGAGGGUGAUCGGCCACACUGGGACUGAGACACGGCCCAGACUCCUACGGGAGGCAGCAGUAGGGAAUCUUCGGCAAUGGACGAAAGUCUGACCGAGCAACGCCGCGUGAGUGAAGAAGGUUUUCGGAUCGUAAAACUCUGUUGUUAGAGAAGAACAAGGAUGAGAGUAAAAUGUUCAUCCCUUGACGGUAUCUAACCAGAAAGCCACGGCUAACUACGUGCCAGCAGCCGCGGUAAUACGUAGGUGGCAAGCGUUGUCCGGAUUUAUUGGGCGUAAAGCGAGCGCAGGCGGUUUCUUAAGUCUGAUGUGAAAGCCCCCGGCUCAACCGGGGAGGGUCAUUGGAAACUGGGAGACUUGAGUGCAGAAGAGGAGAGUGGAAUUCCAUGUGUAGCGGUGAAAUGCGUAGAUAUAUGGAGGAACACCAGUGGCGAAGGCGGCUCUCUGGUCUGUAACUGACGCUGAGGCUCGAAAGCGUGGGGAGCGAACAGGAUUAGAUACCCUGGUAGUCCACGCCGUAAACGAUGAGUGCUAAGUGUUGGAGGGUUUCCGCC
rnacentral:rRNA from 1 species